rnacentral:rRNA from 1 species
UUAGGCAUGCAAGUCGAGCGAGAAGCUACUGAUUGAAACUUCGGUUGAAUUCUUUAGCGGACAGCGGCGCAAGGGAGAGUAACGCGUGGAGACCUACCCCAGGGUCGGGCACAAUUGAGGGAAACCUCUUGUAAUACCCGAUAACGUCCCCGGACCAAAGUUUUUCGCCUUGGGAGGGUUCCGCGUCCUAUUAGCUAGUUGGUGAGGUAAUGGCUCACCAAGGCAAUGAUGGGUAGCGGGUGUGAGAGCAUGACCCGUCUCACUGGGACUGAGACACUGCCCAGACACCUACGGGUGGCUGCAGUCGAGAAUCUUCGGCAAUGGACGAAAGUCUGACCGAGCGACGCCGCGUGCGGGAUGAAGGCCUUCGGGUUGUAAACCGCUGUCAGAGGGGAAGAAAGUUUUACUUGACUGAACCUCAGAGGAAGCACGGGCUAAGUUCGUGCCAGCAGCCGCGGUAACACGAACCGUGCGAACGUUAUUCGGAAUCACUGGGCUUAAAGGGUGCGUAGGCGGCUUAGUAAGUGGGGUGUGAAAUCCCUCGGCUCAACCGAGGAAUUGCGCUCCAAACUACUAAGCUUGAGGGAGAUAGAGGUGAGCGGAACUGAUGGUGGAGCGGUGAAAUGCGUUGAUAUCAUCAGGAACACCAGAGGCGAAGGCGGCUCACUGGAUCUCUUCUGACGCUGAGGCACGAAAGCUGGGGGAGCGAACGGGAUUAGAUACCCCGGUAGUCCCAGCUGUAAACGUUGAGCACUUGAUCGAGGAACCUUCCACAGUUUCUCGGUCGUAGCGAAAGUGUUAAGUGCUCCGCCUGGGGAGUAU